rnacentral:rRNA from 1 species
GGACCCGCACAAGUAGUGGAGCAUGUGGUUUAAUUCGAAGAUACGCGCAGAACCUUACCAACACUUGACAUGUUCGUCGCGACUUUAAGAGAUUAAAGUUUUCGGUUCGGCCGGACGAAACACAGGUGCUGCAUGGCUGUCGUCAGCUCGUGUCGUGAGAUGUUGGGUUAAGUCCCGCAACGAGCGCAACCCUCACUUUUAGUUGCCAUCAUUUAGUUGGGCACUCUGAAAGAACUGCCAGUGAUAAGCUGGAGGAAGGUGGGGAUGACGUCAAGUCCUCAUGGCCCUUACGUGUUGGGCUACACACGUGCUACAAUGGUAGUGCAAUGGGUUAAUCCCCAAAAAGCU